rnacentral:lncRNA from 1 species
GGAAGGCACAUUUGACUUCAAAUUAAAACUUAAUUUGAAUCACCCAUUCUAAACAAAGGCAAGUUCACAUGGAUGCACCUAGCCUCCAAAUCUCAUCUCACGGAUUCACGGUGAAAUUGCUUCUCUCUCGUUAUCACCGAACUUCUCAGAGACAGGUCGCCACGGGGUCUGCUGCUAUGCGCCUCUGCCGUCUUCUACAAGCGACAUCGAGCCCUCGCUUAGCUGGGUGAGCGACAGCCAGCGGGAGUAGAGCAACAACCAAACCGCGAAUUUUGUAUCUUGUGGGCCAAAUUUUCCAUGUUCAUGUCUACGUCCGAUUCCCGAUGC